AGCAGCAUCAGGGAAUUUUCUGGUUUUUCGGAUCGUCCCACUCUGGUUGUCGUGGUCUUUAAUUUAUUUGUAGUCUUGUGUGAAUUUUCUACGUGCGCUGCUUUGCGUUAUGAUGAAUCCCCACGUUCUCUAACUGAGAACUGAUCGUUGCGAAUAUUUUUAUAUUCCGCUGAAAACCUUUAAAACCUCUCUGAAUAUCGUCUGUGGUGUAGACGGUCAGAAGAGCUUUGACCUCCCCGUCGGUCCAUUUAUCGCAUGCUCUGUUGUU